rnacentral:rRNA from 1 species
UGAACCUGCGGAAGGAUCACUA